rnacentral:rRNA from 1 species
GACGAACGCUGGCGGCGUGCCUAAUACAUGCAAGUCGAACGCUGAAGGAGGAGCUUGCUUCUCUGGAUGAGUUGCGAACGGGUGAGUAACGCGUAGGUAACCUGCCUGGUAGCGGGGGAUAACUAUUGGAAACGAUAGCUAAUACCGCAUAAUAGUAGAUGUUGCAUGACAUUUACUUAAAAGGUGCAAUUGCAUCACUACCAGAUGGCCCUGCGUUGUACUAGCUAGUUGGUGGGGUAACGGCUCACCAAGGCGACGAUACAUAGCCGACCUGAGAGGGUGAUCGGCCACACUGGGACUGAGACACGGCCCAGACUCCUACGGGAGGCAGCAGUAGGGAAUCUUCGGCAAUGGACGAAAGUCUGACCGAGCAACGCCGCGUGAGUGAAGAAGGUUUUCGGAUCGUAAAGCUCUGUUGUAAGAGAAGAACGAGUGUGAGAGUGGAAAGUUCACACUGUGACGGUAUCUUACCAGAAAGGGACGGCUAACUACGUG